CGCAAGCCUGAUGCAGCCAUGCCGCGUGUAUGAAGAAGGCUUCGGGUUGUAAAGUACUUUCAGCAGUGAGGAAGGUGGAUAUGUUAAUAGCAUAUUCAUUUGACGUUAGCUGCAGAAGAAGCACCGGCUAACUCCGUGCCAGCAGCCGCGGUAAUACGGAGGGUGCGAGCGUUAAUCGGAAUUACUGGGCGUAAAGCGCAUGCAGGUGGUUUGUUAAGUCAGAUGUGAAAGCCCGGGGCUCAACCUCGGAAUUGCAUUUGAAACUGGCAAACUAGAGUACUGUAGAGGGGGUAGAAUUUCAGGUGUAGCGGUGAAAUGCGUAGAGAUCUGAAGGAAUACCGGUGGCGAAGGCGGCCCCCUGGACAGAUACUGACACUCAGAUGCGAAAGCGUGGGGAGCAAACAGGAUUAGAUACCCUGGUAG
rnacentral:rRNA from 1 species